rnacentral:rRNA from 1 species
CAGCAGCCGCGGGAAAACGGAGGGAGCUAGCGUUAUUCGGAAUUACUGGGCGUAAAGCGCACGUAGGCGGCUUUGUAAGUAAGAGGUGAAAGCCCGGAGCUCAACUCCGGAACUGCCUUUUAGACUGCAUCGCUUGAAUCCAGGAGAGGUGAGUGGAAUUCCGAGUGUAGAGGUGAAAUUCGUAGAUAUUCGGAAGAACACCAGUGGCGAAGGCGGCCCGCUGGACAUGUAUUGUCGCUGAGGUGCGAAAGCGUGGGGAGCAAACAGGAUUAGAUACCCCAGUAGCCCUGUCUCUUAUACA